rnacentral:rRNA from 1 species
UGAUCCCCCACAAUGGCACUGAGACACGGGCCAUACUCCUACGGGAGGCAGCAGUCAGGGAUAUUGCACAAUGGGCGAAAGCUUGAUGCAGCGACGCCGCGUGGGCGAUGAAGGCCUUCGGGUUGUAAAGCCCUUUUCUGGGGGAAGAGACAAGGACGGUACCCCAGGAAUAAGCGCCGGCUAACUACGUGCCAGCAGCCGCGGUAAAACGUAGGGCGCAAGCGUUAUCCGGAUUCACUGGGCGUAAAGUGCGUUGAGGCGGCUCCGUAAGUUGGACGUUAAAGCCCCCGGCCUAACUGGGGGAGGUCGUUCAAUACUGCGGAGCUUGAGGGCAGCAGAGGCAGGUGGAAUUCCCGGUGUAGUAGUGAAAUGCGUAGAUAUCGGGAGGAACACCCGUGGCGAAGGCGGCCUGCUGGGCUGCUCCUGACGCUGAAGGCGAAAGCUAGGGGAGCAAACGGGAUUAGAAACCCCGGUAGUCCUAGCUGUAAACGAUGGAUGCUGGACGUGGGGGGUAUAGACUCCCUCCGUGCCGAAGCUAACGCGUUAAGCAUCCCGCCUGGGGACUACGGCCGCAAGGCUAAAACUCAAACGAAUUGACGGGUCCCCGCACAAGCAGCGGAGCGUGUGGUUCAAUUCGAUCUUACACGAAGAACCUUACCUGGGUUUGACAUGUGGGUAGUAGUGAAGCGAAAGCGGAACGACCUUUCGGGGAGCCUACACAGGUGCUGCAUGGCUGUCGUCAGCUCGUGCCGUGAGGUGUCGGGUUAAGUCCCGUAACGAGCGCAACCCUCGCCCUUAGUUACAAGUGUCUAGGGGGACUGCCGGCGACAAGCCGGAGGAAGGUGAGGAUGACGUCAAGUCAGCAUGGCCUUUAUAUCCAGGGCUACACACACGCUACAAUGGCCGGUACAAUGGGUUGCCAAGCCGUGAGGCGGAGCCAAUCCCCCAAAGCCGGUCUCAGUUCGGAUUGCAGGCUGCAACUCGCCUGCAUGAAGCUGGAGUUGCUAGUAAUCGCGCGUCAGCAAUAGUGCGGUGAAUACGUUCCCGGGGAUUGUACACACCGCCCGUCACGUCAUGGGAGCUGGCAACACCUGAAGCCGGUGGGCCAACCCGCAAGGGAGGCAGCCGUCGAAGGUGGGGCUGGUGACUGGGACGAAGUCGUAACAAGGUAGCUGUAGCGGAAGCUGCGGCUG